GUAGUCUCGCACAGAUGCAUAUCAAUAAGCGGAGGAAAAGAAACUAACAAGGAUUCCCCUAGUAACGGCGAGUGAAGCGGGAAGAGCUCAAAUUUGAAAUCUUAAAGGGUUUCCCUUUACGAAUUGUAGUUUAAAGAAGUGUUUUCUGUUGAGGUUUUGGUAAAAGUUCUUUGGAAUAGGACAUCAUAGAGGGUGAGAAUCCCGUAUUUGACCUUUACUUUCAACUUUGUGAUACACUUUCAAAGAGUCGGAUUGUUUGGGAAUGCAGUCCAAAAUGGGUGGUAAAUUUCAUCUAAAGCUAAAUAUUGGCGAGAGACCGAUAGCGAACAAGUACCGUGAGGGAAAGAUGAAAAGAACUUUGAAAAGAGAGUUAAACAGUACGUGAAAUUGUCAAAAGGGAAGCGUUUGACACCAGUGUUGUUUUUCUGAAAAUCAAUUAAAGAACUGUUUAUGCUAAGUUGUUUAGACUUUAUCAGCUAUCUGUUUAGUUUUGAGCUUUUCUUUAAUGCACUUUCAGUUAACAAGUCAACAUCAAUUUCUUUUGCUGUAAAAAAGCUUGAGGAAGGUGGCUUGAGAUUCGUCUUAAGUGUUUAUAGCCUCUUGCCUAUGCAGUCGGAGAGAUUGAGGUCUGCAGCGUAGAUCCUUCGGGGCUAAAUGCAUUUGUGCUAAGUUAUAGCAUUUUAUAGACAACUUGUUGACUAUGAUUUGUCUUGUAGCUUACUCGCUUAUGUUAUUUUACCUACGCUUAGGAUGUUGACAGCAGUAUAGACUGU
rnacentral:rRNA from 1 species